AUGUGGAAUUAAUAAAACAAAAGUCAACUAAAAACAUGUAAUAUUAUGGUAUUAAGAUGCCAGUGCUAAAAAAAUCCGUUUACACGAACUUAGUAGAAUUAAGUCGAGGCUUCAAAGGAUUGGUGUACAAAAAGAUUUGCCGUUAGAGACCUGCAUAAAUACAGAGUGCAAGUCCUCUGCAGAUAUUACAUCACCUCUAGCCAAAUUUUGCUGUUGCGAUCUUUCCAGUAAUUCAAAGACAACAUUUGUGCACAUGAUAAUACCUCUUCCAGAUGACUUCCCACUGAAGCGUCUUCAAUAUAAGAUCUAUACUAUACAAUCGAACAAUUCCCUAAUUGUCAUGACAGCUACACUGUGUUUUCUAAAGAAAUCCUGCAUUAAGGAAACAUGGAAAUCCCUCUUCCUAGAUAUGAAAUUAUUCAACUUGCAAUCAUGCGAGGGAAAAAAAAAUGAAGAUAGAGGAGAAAAAUUAAAUGAAACAGUAUAACGGGGUGAAGGAGAAUAACUCACUGAAACACGAUCACAGUCCUCUCAUAUGAAAUCAAGGGCGUGAGGAUGGUCAAGAUUGACUACUUGUGAAACAAAGAUAAUGUAAAAGUGAUCCUGCAUGGCUGAGAUUAUUAUAGUUUGUUCACCAUGAAGGAUAUAACAGCUCAAACCAGAGAAAGUGAUUGCUU
rnacentral:lncRNA from 1 species